rnacentral:rRNA from 1 species
ACGCUGGCGGCAGGCUUAACACAUGCAAGUCGAGCGGAGCGAGGGUGCUUGCACCUUAGCUUAGCGGCGGACGGGUGAGUAAUGCUUAGGAAUCUGCCUAUUAGUGGGGGACAACAUUCCGAAAGGGAUGCUAAUACCGCAUACGCCCUGCGGGGGAAAGCAGGGGAUCUUCGGACCUUGCGCUAAUAGAUGAGCCUAAGUCGGAUUAGCUAGUUGGUGGGGUAAAGGCCUACCAAGGCGACGAUCUGUAGCGGGUCUGAGAGGAUGAUCCGCCACACUGGGACUGAGACACGGCCCAGACUCCUACGGGAGGCAGCAGUGGGGAAUAUUGGACAAUGGGGGGAACCCUGAUCCAGCCAUGCCGCGUGUGUGAAGAAGGCCUUUUGGUUGUAAAGCACUUUAAGCGAGGAGGAGGCGCUCUUAGUUAAUACCUAAGAUGCGUGGACGUUACUCGCAGAAUAAGCACCGGCUAACUCUGUGCCAGCAGCCGCGGUAAUACAGAGGGUGCGAGCGUUAAUCGGAUUUACUGGGCGUAAAGCGCGCGUAGGUGGCUAAUUAAGUCAAAUGUGAAAUCCCCGAGCUUAACUUGGGAAUUGCAUUCGAUACUGGUUAGCUAGAGUAUGGGAGAGGAUGGUAGAAUUCCAGGUGUAGCGGUGAAAUGCGUAGAGAUCUGGAGGAAUACCGAUGGCGAAGGCAGCCAUCUGGCCUAAUACUGACACUGAGGUGCGAAAGCAUGGGGAGCAAACAGGAUUAGAUACCCUGGUAGUCCAUGCCGUAAACGAUGUCUACUAGCCGUUGGGGCCUUUGAGGCUUUAGUGGCGCAGCUAACGCGAUAAGUAGACCGCCUGGGGAGUACGGUCGCAAGACUAAAACUCAAAUGAAUUGACGGGGGCCCGCACAAGCGGUGGAGCAUGUG